rnacentral:rRNA from 1 species
CCCUUAGAUGUUCUGGGCCGCACGCGCGCUACACUGACGGAGGCAGCGAGCAUGUCCUUCGCCGAGAGGUGUGGGGAAUCUUGUGAGUCUCCGUCGUGCUGGGGAUAGAUGGUUGCAAUUGUCGAUCUUGAACGAGGAAUUCCUAGUAAGCGCGAGUCAUCAGCUCGCGCUGAAUACGUCCCCGCCCUUUGUACACACCGCCCGUCGCUCCUACCGAUUGAGUGGUCCGGUGAGGCUUUGGGAUCUGAGCAAAAAGAGCGUUUCGCUCGUUUGGCUCGGAAAACUCAGUCGAACCUUAUCAUUUAGAGGAAGGAGAAGUCGUAACA